rnacentral:rRNA from 1 species
CCUACGGGUGGCAGCAGUGAGGAAUAUUGGUCAAUGGACGCGAGUCUGAACCAGCCAUGCCGCGUGCAGGAAGACUGCUCUACGAGUUGUAAACUGCUUUUAUAAGGGAGUAAACGCAGACACGCGUGCCUGUCUGUAAGUACUUUAUGAAUAAGGAUCGGCUAACUCCGUGCCAGCAGCCGCGGUAAUACGGAGGAUUCAAGCGUUAUCCGGAUUUAUUGGGUUUAAAGGGUGCGUAGGCGGUUGGUUAAGUUAGAUGUGAAAGUCCGCGGCUCAACUGCAAAAUUGCCAUUGAUACUGGUAGGCUUGAGAACAGUUGAGGUAGGCGGAAUGCAUGGUGUAGCGGUGAAAUGCUUAGAUAUCACAAAGAACUCCGAUUGCGAAGGCAGCUUACCAAGCUACUUCUGACGUUGAGGCACGAAAGUGUGGGGAGCAAACAGGAUUAGAUACCCGAGUAGUC